CCCAGCCAGGUGCCCGUCAGAUGAAACGUCCCUGAGGUCUUGCGUCUGUCACCUGCCCCCCUCCCCUGGGCUACCCGCUCCCGGCUCCGGAACGUCCCAAUCUUUUAGUUGUGUGUGUGUGUGUUCCGAGGAAAGUCAUGACAAUAUUGGGGGACAAAGACGGUGGCCAUAGGCUGGGGUGGGGGGUGGGGGCCAGGCGCCGCACCUGCGACACCUGCGACGCUGCAGCGUCUUCGAGUCCCUCGGGCACAGGAAAAGCGCCCCCCUCAAGGGCCCCCCAAGUGCCAGGCACCGGGAGAGGAGCUGCACGGGUAACUGGGACGCAGGCGAGCGGAUUUAUUUAGCACUUCCCGUUUUAUCCUGCGCGACAUCGCCGCUGCCAGGACGAUCCCACUCGCCUCGCCGCGUGGUCGGGUGGGAGCUGGGGGGGCGGGGGAAGGGCCAAGCGCAGCCCCCCGCGAGACUGCCCACCGCGCGUCACGCCCCCCGCUCCCGCCUGGAGCCCGGUUUCCGCUGGGAGGUGAGCCGACGACACCAUCACGUCCACCAAGGACCUACUGGGUGCCAAGGAGCGACUGGGCGCGGGGCACCGCCCCAGGAAGGUCAACCAAAAGCCAACCCUGCGACAGGGACAGCGGCCCCCGCAGGCGCCAGCCCGGAGCCUCCCGUCUGUGCCCGGAAGAAAGCCCUCCCCCUUCAAGUACCUGUCCGGGUGCCCCAGGACUAGCCCCCACCCCACCGCAGCGGCGCCGCAGUCUAUUCCCAAGAUGCACCUGGGCAUGGUAUGCAAAUGAAGGGAGUUAACCCUUUUCCUACAGAGGGGAGGUCCCACGCAGCAGGGUUCAGCAAGCCCCGCCUCGUGCUUGGCUCUGUGGGGUGGACGGAUUGAUGGGCCCCCUGCCAUCCCAGGGCCCCAGCCCGGCUUUCGAAGCGACUUCAGGAAACAGCAGUCUCUCGGGAGCGCUUGACCACCGGUUACUUCGUAAUUUCUUUCGGCCCACUCGCCUGCUUCUGGGGCCAGGGCUGCGCGCGAGUCCAAACGGAAGGCGCCCACAAAGGCGAGCACGACUAGCAAGUCAAAGGCGACUAAGGCUGAAGUUGACGGAGACGAGGAAGGAAAAGCCAGCGGCGAAAUCAACACACGUCGUCGGAGAAGCCACGGCCUGGGAGCCCCGGCCUGUGUUCUCCCGCCUUCUCUGCACGGACUCCCAGCCAGCCCAGCGCUCUCCUUCCUGGGAACGGUGGGCAGCAAACCGGAGCAGGCAGGCUUCCGGGGGCCACCCGGCACCCACCUAAGACUUUCCCCUGGAAGGAACAUAGAAGCCAACGGCUUCGGAAGUCAGCGAUUCUGUGCAUUUUGCUGCUCGAUGUGAAGACGCCAAAAUCACCCCGUGCGCCCCCCCUCCCCCCCCCCCCCCCCCGGACAUCCAGGUGGCCAAGCUUGGGGCCUGUGGCAAAAGUGGGGGUGGGGGACUCUGGCUUGGCGAGGCUCGCGUCUGGGUCUGGACGGCGCGGCCGGGCGUGUCCCUUGGACCCUGGAUACAAUGUCCAGCACAGCCCCCCACCGCACCCCCCAGUGGAAAACCCAGGAGUGUGUCCCCGAGAACGGGUAAGACAAGAGGCCUGUCUGCACCAGCCGGUAGGAGAUGACAGGCCAGUUCUGAAGACUGUCAUCGGGUCCCCAGGGAGGCAGUGUUGACAGGCACAAACGCUGGAAGCCACACCCACGCCCAGCCACGGGAGACCCCCCCACCCGGGACACACACACACACCGCGAGGUGCUGCUCAGCCUUUCAGUACGCUCCUUUACAAACGUUUUUCUUCGGAAAUGAUCAUAGCUUCACAAAGAGUUGCGAGAGUAGUACAGAGGCCCCUCACCCAGCUUCUCCCAAGGGUCACAUCUUGCAAAAUCAUGGAACACGGUCACCGUCAGGAAACUGACGUUCUGCAGCCCGCCGACCUCGUUCAGAUUUCUGAAGUUUCCAUGCACUCACACGUAGGCGUGCCUGCGGCCUCGUUCUUGUGUGUGAGUGUGUUUAAAGUUUAUUAAUUUUGAGAGAGAGGAGUGGGCAUUCGACUGAGCAGGGGAGGGGCAGAGAGAGAGAGAGAGAGAGAGAAUCUCAAGCAGGCUUCUCAAUGUCAGUGCAGAGCCUGAGGCAGGGCUCGACCUCACCAACCGUGAGAUCAGGACCCCAGGUGUCCCUGUGUGCGUUAUUCUUUACCAUUUUAUCAUACAUUCAGCUUUAUGCGACCCCAACCCAACUGAGAUGCACAACUCUCUGUCACCACAAAGAAACAUGCCACUUUAAGAAACAAUUAUCUGGGGGCGCCUGGGUGGCGCAGUCGGUUAAGCGUCCGACUUCAGCAGGUCACGAUCUCGCGGUCCGUGAGUUCGAGCCCGCGUCGGGCCUGGGCUGAUGGCUCGGAGCCUGGAGCCUGUUUCCGAUGCUUGUGUCUCCCUCUCUCUCUGCCCCUCUCCUGUUCAUGCUCUGUCUCUCUCUGUCCCAAAAAUAAAUAAAUGUUGAAAAAAAAAUUUUUUUUAAAA
rnacentral:lncRNA from 1 species